rnacentral:lncRNA from 7 species
GUCCCGUCUGCGGUGGUCGCCAUGACUGGCGCAUGUCGAGCGACGAUCCAAGCGCCAAAGCUUAAUUCGGAGUAGCGCGAAACGAAACGGGCAUGAACAGGAACAUACUGGAAAGCAACUUACCGAUGGAGGAGCAAUGGAGGUCUCGGCCCACGGUGAGAGCGCCGAUCCCAGCGGAAGAGGGACACCGGCAAGCAAUUCACUGCUCCCCGCCCGAUGUACGAGCCUGAUGACCCCACAGAUAGAACCGAGCACCCCCGCGCACAUAAUCGUCCUCAAUCCACCACAAAUCACUCAGCUAACCCGAUUCU